GAGCGGACAGAUGGGAGCUUGCUCCCUGAUGUUAGCGGCGGACGGGUGAGUAACACGUGGGUAACCUGCCUGUAAGACUGGGAUAACUCCGGGAAACCGGGGCUAAUACCGGAUGCUUGAUUGAACCGCAUGGUUCAAUUAUAAAAGGUGGCUUUUAGCUACCACUUACAGAUGGACCCGCGGCGCAUUAGCUAGUUGGUGAGGUAACGGCUCACCAAGGCAACGAUGCGUAGCCGACCUGAGAGGGUGAUCGGCCACACUGGGACUGAGACACGGCCCAGACUCCUACGGGAGGCAGCAGUAGGGAAUCUUCCGCAAUGGACGAAAGUCUGACGGAGCAACGCCGCGUGAGUGAUGAAGGUUUUCGGAUCGUAAAACUCUGUUGUUAGGGAAGAACAAGUACCGUUCGAAUAGGGCGGUACCUUGACGGUACCUAACCAGAAAGCCACGGCUAACUACGUGCCAGCAGCCGCGGUAAUACGUAGGUGGCAAGCGUUGUCCGGAAUUAUUGGGCGUAAAGCGCGCGCAGGCGGUUUCUUAAGUCUGAUGUGAAAGCCCCCGGCUCAACCGGGGAGGGUCAUUGGAAACUGGGGAACUUGAGUGCAGAAGAGGAGAGUGGAAUUCCACGUGUAGCGGUGAAAUGCGUAGAGAUGUGGAGGAACACCAGUGGCGAAGGCGACUCUCUGGUCUGUAACUGACGCUGAGG
rnacentral:rRNA from 1 species